rnacentral:rRNA from 1 species
GCAGACCACUCCUACGGGAGGCAGCAGUGGGGAAUAUUGCACAAUGGGCGCAAGCCUGAUGCAGCCAUGCCGCGUGUAUGAAGAAGGCCUUCGGGUUGUAAAGUACUUUCAGCAGUGAGGAAGGUGGGGUAUGUUAAUAGCAUACUCAUUUGACGUUAGCUGCAGAAGAAGCACCGGCUAACUCCGUGCCAGCAGCCGCGGUAAUACGGAGGGUGCGAGCGUUAAUCGGAAUUACUGGGCGUAAAGCGCAUGCAGGUGGUUUGUUAAGUCAGAUGUGAAAGCCCGGGGCUCAACCUCGGAAUUGCAUUUGAAACUGGCAAACUAGAGUACUGUAGAGGGGGUAGAAUUUCAGGUGUAGCGGUGAAAUGCGUAGAGAUCUGAAGGAAUACCGGUGGCGAAGGCGGCCCCCCUGGACAGAUACUGACACUCAGAUGCGAAAGCGUGGGGAGCAAACAGGAUUAGAUACCCUGGUAG